UUUCCCUUUCCAGCUGCACUUAGCCAAGUAUCUUUUAUACUAUUGAAGAGUCUAUCAGCAUGAUCAAACUGACCGCCCUGCAGCUUCUGAUUUUCAGCACUGAACGGUGGGAGGCGAAGAAGGUAAAACAGAACAAUUCCAGCACUUGAAUAGUGAGAACCGUAAUGAAAUUUUGGAAUCUCAGGAUCAUCCCAGCUCUCAUAUCUGAAAACAGAGAAAGUAAAGAAUUAUGCCGCAUGAAACCAUAACUACUUAACAAGAAAAAUUAAGAUGUAUGACAAAGAACACAAGGGGAAGGUGCACUAUAAAAAAGUUUAAGAUGCACAGCACAAACCGUUUCCUAAAUUCUUCUUCUCCUUCAGGUGUCUGGCAACCCAUUGGCUUGUGAAGUUUGCGGAAAGUUUUUGGAUCUGACAAAUCAAGACUCUCGCUAUCAUAAUCUGCGAGAACCCAUGGAAAUACCGGAUACUGCGUGAGAUCACUGUAUCCACGUCCUGCUAGGGUAUUGAGAUGCAUUAGGUAAUGGAAAUUGCUGAUUUCCCCAUUUUGCCAUCUUUUCGAGAAUGACUUUGCCAUUAAUCUGAAAAGGCGGCUUCCCUCGUUACUUUCCUGUUUUGCUGAUCCUGAAAUAGUUGUGUCGAGCCUGGGAAAAAAAUAACAGAAUAAAUAACAGUUUUGCAGAUCAAUGAAGACAGAAUCUAGUCUUUGAGAAGUAAGCUUAAAAAAGAACACCCAUCCCAUGCAACUCAUUGUCGUUGACUGAUAAACUUAUUCAUUAACCUAGUGAACAUUGAACUGCUAUAAAAUAUUUAAAAGAAACAACUGCAGUAUGCUCAACCCAGUGCGAGGAACAAACAGAAACGAGAUGAAAAUAACGAUAAUACCGUACAUGCUGUUCCUUGAAAGGUUCAUGGCAACCAGAUUUUUGAAAACUUCUUCCCUCUCUUUCUUGUGGAACACGAGGAGAUCAUUACAUCCAUCCAUGCUAAAUAUCUCAAUGGCAACCGGACGCAGCUGGUAAUCACGUUUUAAUAUUUCAUGAACAUUAUUAAGCUUCCACAUACGCCAAGGAUGCGGCAAGUUACCAGUCGUGCCCAUUUUUUCUUUUCCCCAAGCACCCCCACCAUAUGCCCAUGCUCUUCCGCCUACUGCUCUUCCCCCUAGAGCUCCCGUUUUCACUGCUGUCGUCCAAGAUGUGCUAGACUUGGACUGGAAAUCCAGGCUGCCGGAGGCAUCUUUUUUCACACCCAACGCUUGAUCAAUAACAGAUAACUCAUCUUCGCAUUCCUUCUCACAAAUACACCCAUCAUCGUCAAUAUAAAAGUUUUCUAUCACAUACAGACAGAACUCCCCUAUUAAGAAGAUUCCAUCAUGCUUGUCGAGAUCAACAACUCUCUCGCAGUUGUAUCUGAACCUAAUCUUUUCAAGAUGCUCCAGAUAAGGCCUGAUCAGAUACUCACCAUCAUCAUUCAGUUCCUUCUCUGAUUUUUCCUCCUCGCCUUUAGUUUCAUCCAUUUUAGCAGAAGAUGAAUGUCUUGGAGAGCCAGCCUCAGAUUUUGCAAGUGUGUUGUCUGUUAUUGGCACAGAUGCUGUACUAGAUUUGCCACCAAAGUCAAGAGCAGAAUGAAGACUUGCUUCGUUUGUACUACUAGCUCUAUCAUCAUUCCAUCCAUUUCUGGCAGAAGCGACAUCUUUAAAAUCAUCUGACUCUUUCACAAACGCCUCAUCAUAAAGUUCACUGAGCAGGAAAGCUGGUUCGGAAUCUGUGUCUGAAAUAACUGGCCCAUCUUCAUUUUUCACUUUGGUUCCCCGGUAAGGUCAUUUAUGUAGAUUGCUGAAAUGGGAACUGGGAAGUCAGGAAGCUGCCUCACAAAACUCAUCGAACUGAGAUCCCAUAUUAUAACUGUGCAAUCAUCUGACCCACUUGCGAUCAUCAUGUACGGUUGACUUACACGUAGACAUGUGACUGUAGCUGUGUGAGCACACAGGGCUUUUUCUAACCGUAAACGUCGUGAACUACGCGGGCCAUCCUUGCUUACUCUCCACACGCACACUAAACCAUCUUCUGCUCCAGUGACCACAAUGCGUCCAUCGUGACUAAAACCAGCACACUGGAUCUGGUUGCUUUCAUGGAGAUUUUCGUGAGUUGAUAGCAGUUUGUCCUGAUCAUAACUCAUAAAUCUCAAACUCCUGUCUGGGAACCCCCAUGUUAUGUAUUUGGUAUAGCCUCUGGGUUUCAGGAAGCAGUUAGCCCCGGCAACGAGCACCUUGUCGUGGAAAGUAGUGAUUUGGCUUAUAGAAGAUGGACAUUUACGUGUCUCGUGAGGAAUUAGAUGCAUCGAAUGUUUCAGAGGGUGGAGAGGAACUUUUCGGUCUGUUCUUCUUUUGACAUGAGCUUUCUGGAAUAGCUGCUUCGGAGUUUGUCCAAAAUGAUUAAUCUGCGCUAGUAUGGAAGCUUUCAAUGCGGGGUCGCUAACUGCAUCAAUAUCAACAUUUCCCUCGUACGUGUAAUGAUAGAAAACAUUUACAGCUUCUUCUGCAGCCUGAGAAUAAACAACAUUCCAAUAACGAAAAGUAAAUAACAUGGCAACACUUUUAGUUUCUGCAUUUUACUUGGCUAGAGGCAAAAUGAAAAGUGUACCUUUCCUCUCUGUUUGUACCCAAAGAUGAGAUCUAUCCAGUGAUGCAGAUUUUCUGAGACAUAAUCUGACUCCAACGCUUCUCUGUGCUUGAGGAUGAACUCACGUACACUACCUCUCGCCCACGGAGGUAAAAAGACAUCACCAACCUAAAAUUACGCAGAAGAAAUAAUAUAUAUCAACACUACAUGAAAGGAAAAUGGUACAUUCAAGCACCAUUGAAAGAACUGGAACCGGCACAAACCUUCUCUCCCGACUGUUUUUCACCCAAAUCAAGACUGAAUCUAUUUUCCAAAAACUCUGGCAUGUAGAAGAAUUCAGGAAUGAGUUCUUUUACGUCUGAUGUAUUUCCCUUUCCAGCUGCACUUAGCCAAGUAUCUUUUAUACUAUUGAAGAGUCUAUCAGCAUGAUCAAACUGACCGCCCUGCAGCUUCUGAUUUUCAGCACUGAACGGUGGGAGGCGAAGAAGGUAAAACAGAACAAUUCCAGCACUUGAAUAGUGAGAACCGUAAUGAAAUUUUGGAAUCUCAGGAUCAUCCCAGCUCUCAUAU
rnacentral:lncRNA from 1 species